GUUGAGAAUCGAUAAAGGAGUAUUCAUUGGUACUUAGUUAAGAUCUAGAAAGUGAACAUAAUUGAUCACUUAAAGUGAAUACAACCCUUACGUAAUUGCAUACUAAUACAUUUCUGUUUGUUCGUAUGUAUCUUUGCAUUGAUAUAUAUGUAUUUAAAUGUAUAUAGUGUUUGUUUUCAUCUAUGCAUGAUAUACUAGAAGACUUUUAGGUGCAAAAUAUGUAAAUUAGUUAUUAACAAUUCUGCAAAAAUCAAGUACUCAUUGUAUAAAAGAGUGUGUGUAUUGUCUAUACGUGUAUGUUAUGUAUUAUAGUGUAUUAUAAAAAAAAAUUUAGAUGUGAAAUAUGUUGGGAAUCUACUUAUACAUGCACAGCGGAAAAUUAAAUUAUUUCGAUUCACAUCCAAUAGAUCUCAUUGUGUUUGGUUAGGAAUUGUGAUAAGAUUGUACCUUUUUCAGAUCUGCAAUCCUUUUGCUUUUGAUUUUGUUCCACAACUUUGAUUCGCCACCACAGCUGUCCAAUUGUCCAGCCUCCAACGGUGAUCCACACAGAGAAUAUGAUUGCAGCCUCUAGGGUUUUCUCUUGUGCCAGCAAGAAUAAUGAAAACCUUAAUGGACCUCAAACCCUAGUUAUGUAUUUAUAUAAACCCAAACAGGCUCGGCCCGGUCCGGUCCGGUCCAAUAAUUAAUUAAUCCAAUUAAUUAAACUCGGUCCGUGAAUUAAUUAAUCCAAUUAAUUAAUUCAAAAAUAUAAAUAACAAAUCCAAUUAAUUAAUUUAUCCAACAAUUGUUAAAUUAACUAAUUUGCAAUUUGCAAUCUUCCAAUUCUCUUUUGUGUGUGACCCAUUAGGUUCCCGACCACGAUGCCUA
rnacentral:lncRNA from 1 species